GAGUUUGAUCCUGGCUCAGAACGAACGCUGGCGGCGUGCCUAACACAUGCAAGUCGAACGUGAUCCAGAGCUUGCUCUGGUGAAAGUGGCGCACGGGUGAGUAACGCGUGGAUAACCUACCCUGGUAUCCGGGAUAACAUUCCGAAAGGGGUGCUAAUACCGGAUAAGCCCACGGGCUCUUUGGAGCUUGCGGGAAAAGGUGGCCUCUAUUUAUAAGCUACUGUAUCAGGAUGGGUCCGCGUACCAUUAGCUAGUUGGCGGUGUAACGGACCACCAAGGCGACGAUGGUUAGCUGGUCUGAGAGGAUGAUCAGCCACACUGGAACUGAGACACGGUCCAGACUCCUACGGGAGGCAGCAGUGGGGAAUUUUGCGCAAUGGGGGAAACCCUGACGCGGCAACGCCGCGUGAGUGAUGAAGGCCUUUGGGUCGUAAAGCUCUGUCAGAGGGGAAGAAAUGAUAUAGUGCUAAUACCACUUUAUCUUGACGGUACCCUCAAAGGAAGCACCGGCUAACUCCGUGCCAGCAGCCGCGGUAAUAC
rnacentral:rRNA from 1 species